UCUCUCAAUUACUGUUUAUAACACACCGUAACCGAGAGAAAUUGAAUUAAAUUGAAAUACGUAUAACUAUUACGAUCAAAUAAGACCUGAUUUCGGAUCAUCGCUUUCAUUUUAUGGAUUCGGAUCGGAAGUCCGUUCUGGAGGGGAUGAUGCAUUAUUUUAUUUUUAAGAUUUUGGACCUUGCGGUGUAGGGAAUUAUUACUGCUUGCAUUUGUUUUAUAAUUUUGGAUAUAUUCUCUUCAGUUUGCUGUGCGAAAUGAAAGAAGUAUAUGCUGUAUAUUUGGAUUGGAACUUGAACUCCUGUUUUGGGUCCCCGUCCGCCAUGCUGCAAUGUCAUUGUUGUGACAGCACUUCAGCGAAACAACUUACAGAUGGAUGUAGUGAAGCUUACAAGCUAAAUAAGAAGAUUUGGAAAAAUACAGUCUGGAGUAUUAUGUAAAAGUCCACUUCCAUUUUUCUUAUUCAGCUGAUGGACUCUAUAUCUUAAAUAAGAAGAAAAAGCCGAUACAGGAGAAAAUUCAAACGAAAUAGCUUUAACCAUGUUUCCGGGUUAUAUCUAGGACAGACAUUAACUUUGCAUCAUGUUCUCCAAGGGUUUUACCAUGCACAAGAAUAUCAUCUAUGCAAAUGAAAUUUCCAGCGAAAUCGCAUGGCCGUUUUCAUACAAGGAAAACCAAUAUUUUGAAUCUGGAGGAUCUAUGUCUAGCUCAUUUCCAGUCGAAAUGCAAUCAUAUUUUUGUUUUAAUUUAAAUUUUGUAAAAGGAUUUUUAAUUAUUCAAGUAUGAUGCAAAAAAUGUUUACUUUAAAUUGAUUAAUUAAACUUACCUGUACAUAGUUUAUAGUUGUCAUGAGUUUUGAUUAAAUAUCUUUGCUUCAUAAAUUUAGCAAAUGUAUCCAUCAAGAUUGCACAAUUUAUUGUUAAUGAUGUUUUGUUUUUAUUAUUAUUAUUGGAUUUAGUUUCAGUGUAGAAUUUUUUUUUCCAAUUUAUAUAUGUAUGGAUUUAAAUACAGUCUAAUAAUUGAUAUUAUAUUUUUUUUCUGGUUACUAAUGUUUAAUAAUGUUGAAUUUCUUUUGAAAGAUUUUUUGCAUAGUUUUUCAUGUAAUUUUUCCAUUUAUCUCAUAUUUUUAUUGAUAAAUGAUAAUAAGUCAAAUAUUUUCUCUCAUGCAUAAUUGAAAAUACUAAUAUUUUUUUUUUAAAUUCAGAGCUUUUAUAAUGAUUAUAAAUAUUUUUCAAAAUAGCAUGAUCCUGUAUUAAAAAAAAUGCGAUUAACUAUAAAUGUGUUCUUUAAUUGUGUGCUUAUUUUUGUUUUCAUCACAUUUAAAUUAAUGCUUGUUUUCUUAAAGAGAUUGUGUGCAGAUGCACAAGGUUGAUAUGUGCAAAUCGUUAAUUAAUGACUUUUGCACACUCUUUGUAGGUUUAUUGAAACUUAAUUACUAUUAUCAUCUAUCGUAAUGUAGCUUAAGGUCAAUGUUUAUUUCCAGUUGGGGGUUUUUUUCCCCAUGACAUCAAUUCUACAUGAAGUGACGUUAGCUAAUGAACUGAAUUUCAAGCUGGAUUAAUUUUCUGUUUGAAAGUUUGACUUUAAAAUAUCUUGUGUGACAUUUUUCUUCCCAAUAUCAAGCUGAUAAUAAGCAUUAUGAUUUAUGAACUUACAUUUUCCGAUUUUGCAAUUCUGCUUUUUCGACAAUUAUUUUUACUAGAAAAACUUGCCAAAGAAUGAUUGAGAAGACUCUUUUCGUUUAAAUAAGAAUUGACUGAUAGAUGAUAAUUCUCUUUGAGAUAAUUGCCAUUUUUCCCUUGCAAAAAUUGGUAAUUAACCUUUAAGCCUCGUCUAUGUCAUGAAAUUCUAGUGCGUAAUUGAUUUCAUAGUGCCAAUUUUUCAAAGCAAAGAAAUAGAUAAAUAAGUGGUCAUCUGUUUGCAAAAUUAAUGUAUCUUGAUUUAUUUUGCAUUUGCACUAAAGCUUUUGGCUUUUUUUUUUUUCUGAAAGAAGUAAUUAAUAACCAAACGGGAAAAGGUUUCUCAUUUGUACAAAUGAAUGAAAUGUAUCUAUUU